AAUACAUGAUGACACUAGUUUUGGUCCCAGAUGAAGAGCAGUGAUUACAUUAUUGAGAUCUCCUGAUAUU